rnacentral:tRNA from 1 species
GAGGGUGUAGCUUGGUGGCAGAGUGCGAGCCUAGCAAGCACCAGGUCCUGGGUUCAAUCCCCAGUACCUCCA